GACGAACGCUGGCGGCGUGCUUAACACAUGCAAGUCGAACGAAGAGGCGAACGGGUGAGUAACGCGUAAUCAACCUGCUCUUCAGAGGGGGACAACAGUUGGAAACGACUGCUAAUACCGUACACUGACGGCGGGGAUGGCGUUUGAUUAGCUCGUUGGAGGGGUAACGGCCCACCAAGUCGAUGAUACGUAGCCGGUCUGGAAGGAUGCACGGCAAAAUUGGGACUGAGACACGGCCCAGAAGCCUACGGGAGGGAGCAAUUGGGAUUCUUCCGCAAUGGACGAAAGUCUGACGGGGCAACGCCGCGUUAGUGAUGACGGCCUUCGGGUUGUAAAGCUCUGUUAAUCGGGACGCGGUACCGGAAUAGAAAGCCACGGCUAACUACGUGCCAGCAGCCGCGGUAAUUC
rnacentral:rRNA from 1 species